GUUGGUAAAUGUUCUCAAAUGACAUCAAGUGGUUACAUAAACUAGCUAGCAUGUGUAGCAAUAGCAUUAGCAUGUCGUUCUUGCCUCGACUCCGGCAAUAAAUACCCCACUCAUUUCUUCUACAGGACGGGUCUCACGUGAAGGUGUCAUUUUACAACCGAGAUUGUGAGGACACCAUCAUGGCAACCAGUUGGUGAAUGUGCGACUUAAAUAAACACUGCGCAAUUCUUACCAUAGGUGUAAAAACAUGAAAGGAAAACCUGAUGCGGCCCAGCCUUGCCCAGACCACAGCUCCAGUGGCCCCCAGGUUUGGGCUCUCCUGCAACCAAUGCCUUGAAAACAGCGGUUUUCCCUAAAUGACAGG